rnacentral:rRNA from 1 species
UACGAAGGGUGCAAACGUUGCUCGGAAUUAUUGGGCGUAAAGCGCACGUAGGCGGCUUAGCAAGUCGGAAGUGAAAUCCCUCGGCUCAACCAAGGAAGUGCUUUCGAAACUGCUGAGCUUGAGUACUUAAGAGGAUCGCGGAAUUCCUGGUGUAGCUGGUGAAAAUGCGCAGAUAUCAGGAGGAACACCGGUGGCGAAGGCGGGUCUCUGGGCCGAUACUGACGCUGAGGAGCGAAAGCGUGGGGAGCGAACAGG